AUAUUUAAAAAGUAACACAAAAACUAACAAUUUUACCACAAUAAACCAAAACAAUGCAAAAUUGCCAAUUCAUUUGACACAUAACCUGUCAUUUGUCAUGCGUGAGCGAAUCACGCUUCAAAUGUCAUUCUGUCAAAUGAAUUGGCGAAUUUGCAUUGUUUUGGUUUAUUGUGGUAAAAUUAUUUUGGCGUGAAUGCGACAUGAAAUCAAUUUACAAAUGUGUUUUUAGUCCAGGAAGUCACAUCGGCAACCAAUCAGUAUCAAAAAUCAAAUCAUCUUAUACAGAAUUUAACGCUCUUCAAAAUGAUAAUAGCCACUUUUUAAUAUUUUUCAUGUGGAAACACCCUAGUGUACACUCUUCGAAAAGUGUAUUAUACUGACUUGGGAGCUUUCGCUGGCUUCUCGUACAAUAUUGACACGCAAACACUAUUGGUGAUGAUUUGCGAGUGAAACCGCUUCUGCUUGCCGAUUUGUUUGAUUUUAUCCAUGUCGAAAACCAAAUGCCACAAUUCAUCUCUAUGGCCGUUCAUGUAAUAGUCCAGUGUGUAUUUGUUCAUUCGAUUGGUCAGCGGAUUGCGAGAACUGGGCACCACUCCUAGUACAGUGUUCGCCAAAUAAUACAUAUCUUUCAUAUCCAAUCGAACGUUUUUCAGUUGGAAUCGGCAUAACGGGACAAGUGCGAAAUUGUUCACUUUUGGCGGUCGAUUGUUCGUUAUCAAUCCAUCGCGACUGAAUGCAUGCCAUUGUUGUGCAUAUUGAUGAAACACUUCGAUUUGGCGUUGCAUUUGACCGAACAUCCACAGUGAUUGGAACCAAUUGUCCUUAACGAACUCAUUAAAAAAAACGAAAAAUACAGCCAAAAAAACGAAAAAUACAGCCAAAAUGACGAUAGACCAAGAGACCACUCUAACAAGAAAAUCGACCACACUCUUUCCAUCAUCCAUUUGGUAUAUGAAGAAAAAUGCAAGCAAGAGAAGAUGUCUUUUUUGCACGUAGCAAGCAUUUUACAAGCACCACGUAGCAAGCAUCUAAAAAAAUAUUCAAUCAAUCUUUUUAAAGGUAAAUACAUAGAAAUUAGAAUGAAUCAUAAAAAAAACA